rnacentral:tRNA from 1 species
CCCGAACUAGCUCAACGGUAGAGCACGAGAUUCAUAAUCUCGGUGUCGAAGGUUCGAAUCCUUCGUUCGCCU